CAGGGGGGUAGGAUGAUGUGGAUGGGACUGGUUAUAUAAAAGUAUAGGGCACUGUUGGAAUGAGCCAGAUGGUAUGAUAGCAGUCAUCGUCAACAGAACCGUCCUUAUUGUCUGCGUGUGGACGUGCUUCGCCUCUGCAUGACCUUGUGAACUUUUCUGACGCGUGACCUCGAAAAAUCCCUGCCACGGCUCCCCGAGCUCCCCUCCACAUCCCCGGGCUUCUCUGCACAGGCUGUUACCCAGGCAGGAAGUGACAUCAACGGGUCCAAACUAAAAAAUAUGUCGCAGGACGGACUGUCUAGGAUGUGCAGGACCCGGUGUUUGUAAGGGAGGACGCCUCGCAGCGGCUCCAUAAAGUGAUGCUCACUGAAGGAUGCAGGAGAGCGCCGCACAGGCGAGACAGACAGACGCACGGGAGGCUGAGCUCUCUAUCAUGGCGUUCUGCUUAAAGGGGUGCUGUCUGCUAUCCAGCUACAGCUGAGAAACAUCUUCAUAAAAGGAGUUUGAAUGGGCAGAGUCUGGUUUGGCACUUCCUGGAUUUAAAACCACAUGGUCAAGUGUAGCAGAGAAGAGAGGUAAGAAAGUCAAGUGAAAAUACGUUAAAACAUGUCAAGUCUGUGUUAUAUUACUUCUGUAAGAAACAACACAAUGACACAGUUGUCAUAAUCACUGAGUCUUUUACCUGAAUAGCACACUGUUUGGACUCUUUGUGAACAGAUGACACCAGAAGUGGGUAGGGUGGACAUUUUGUGACUUCUUGAGAUUAGCAAGCAUGCAGCAAAUGUUUUUUUUUUACAGCCUGGUUUGUAAGUUACAUAACAUUCCUGUCGAAAUUAAUAAGGGAUACACGCUCUGACUCAAGCAUUUUCUAAGCAAACCACAGAGACAAGCAUGUUUUAGACAGAACAGAGGCAAAACUGUUUGAAACGUCUAUUGUAAAAGUCCAUUACAGUGUACAGACAAACUCCAUGAAGUUCCUCCUAGACCUCCUGUACUUAAAAUAGCUGUGCACACCUACAGUUUUUCCAGGAACUAACAGUCUCUCACUCUUGGUUUUACCUCAAAAUACAGCAGGUUAUUCUUGGUGAACUGAUACUGUUGACUCCUAAAUGGCCUUCCUAGCUUGGCUGGAGCUGAAUGACACCUGCUCUCUUAAAUGGCAUUAAAUCAGCUGUCUGUACAACUGGAAUAAGCUGUGGGGAUUUCUCCUCGACGCCUGUCUUUUUCUCUGCAGAGCUCAAAUACAGUUUCACUGCUAAUCUCGAUGCAGAGGAUAAACUCAUCUUCACAAGAGGAUUUCAAGGAGGAGCAGUUAUCUGGAUCGCCACAAAGAUUCAUGGGCUCCUGGCUAUCUUCACCCACUAUGGCUCCUUCAUGAUGGCCCCCUAAUCUCUGCCAGUGUGGUUCCAUCAUAAUAUGCAUUGCAAGGCGGCUGCGUAAUCAAGCCUGUGAACUCGACAUCUGAAGGAAGGAUUCUGUUUCUGAUCACAUCCCUAUUGAAGUCCGUCCAUUCGCUGAACAUGGAUGCAUUCACAUGCUCAUGCUUGCACUCGCUGAACAUGCCACGGAGGGGCCAUGAAUAAUGCCUGAGGAGCCUAAGAGAGAAUAACAGAGAUAUCACCACCUCUCCUGCUUAUUACCACCUAGCUGUACUGUUGAAGGGAUGUAGCAGUGUGCUCCAGCUUGUGUCCAGGGUCUCCUCAUUUGCCUUCAGGGAAUUGAAAAAAAGGUAACUGUGGCCUUCUGACCUCAGACUGAGAGAAUUCCAAUCUCUCACCAUUCUAAAUCUUUGUUUUCUCACAAGCUGUAUAGUUUCGCCUCUCUUGAGUUAUAAACUAUUGGCCUUUCUGCUAGUCCUAUAGUCAUCCAACCGUUUUAUUGUCUCAGUGGGGGUACAGAGUUCAGGCAGCAGUCAUCGACCAAAACAGAGGUGAACUGUUUGGGGAAGCAGCUUGGCUACUUUGCGAACUUAUCUGUCAGACCUGUGGAGGCUUUGAGGGAGCACAAAACAAACACAAGGUGGAUUCUAUCAUUGCAAACUUGCUGUUGAUUUUAGUGCACACGCAGACACACAAACAAAGCAAAGUUGUUGCUCUUGUUAAAAGUUUUUAUAUAUCCACCUCUUGAUCUAAAGUAAAUAAUGUGAAAGGCUGUCUUCACGAUGUAGGAAUAUUAUCAGAAAUUAACAGUCAAAUCCAAUUGAACUACAAAUUAAGAUUAAACAGUCAUCAGAUGUUUUGGUCAGGCUCCAGAACUCAUGAGUUAUAUAUUUACUAUUUAUACUUAUUCAUAACUAUAUAAAAAAAAAAACUUCUGAUGGCUCUAUAAGACAACAUUAGUCAAGAUUUUUUCAUAGACGCUUUAUUAGUUGCAAUUUUGCACAUUUGCAAUAUUACAACAAAAGACACUAAAAAGAACGAGUUCCAGAUUUAAAUUCUGUUGUAAAAGAGUCAAAAAAAAAGUCUGAAAUCAAACAGUUUUUCAUCCUGCCAUAACAGCAGCCUGUUGGCAGUUAAGUCAUGAAUGUAGCCACAGAUUUGGCAAACAAAUGAGACCCACUUUGAGGCUGUGUUGAUAACUGUAGUGAAGUAUUUGCAUGAGCGAGAAGCAGGUGGCAGCCAAAUGAACAAAGUUGUUCUCAGUCAAAAACAAAUUCAGGCUCAGUCAUAAAUCUAAAUGAUGUUCAGUUAAUGCUGCAGCUAUUCACACAGCAAUUAAAGUGAAUUUAGGCUGCUAAUACGAGAUUUGGCAGCAGUGCGCUUGCUGUGAUGUCACGUAGGGGCGGAUCCCUGGUUGCAGUGACAAGAGAAGACAACUCUUUCUUCCAUCCGAGCACAAUAACAGCAGGGUUAGCUUUGACUUGUUUUUUAAAAGGGUGAAACAAACGUUGGGAGGAUGAAUCUGUUUUGUCUUGUCACUGUUUGCCUGCUGUAUCCUGCAUGCUCUCUGAAUCCUCACUCGAACACACAAUAAUACUGACUGGAGCAGGUUAAGGCAGGACACGGCAGAUAAGCUGUGACACAUUUGAAUGUAGGUCAUUUUUGGUUCUUGUUGGUUUGAAGAAAUUCUGUCCUUCUGAGGAUGCAAACUUUGAAUACUCAAGGAGCCUCUUUGCCUCUUCUUCUGCCAGCUAGAAAUUGGCUCUUUUUAAACCAUUCAGAGCACACUGUAUUAUAAACAUGGAUGAAGAGGCUGAUGUCCUAGAAAUUUUUAAUUGUUUGCAAUAGUAAUGCCUGGGAAAACAUUCUCUUGACAGGGUGGUUGAUCAGUUAUGUUGCAUUAUCUUCAGAUCUUCCAAAUGUCCCUUGGCUUGCUGGUAUUUUUGUCAUUUUUACAUGCCAUGCGGUAGCUGGUUGCCAUUGUCAUCACGGCAGACUGGGAGCCGGGGAGAGGACGCCAGCUCUGUGCCAGUUGGCUCAAGUAGUAAAAACACAAGGCAGACACAGCACAAUUCUAAUUUUCAUCGUUCCAGACACAAGGUCACUUUUUUGGCACUGCAGUUUUUCUGUGUCCUUGUUAGUCAAAGACUGAUUCCAAAUACUAUGUAUGGAUCCAUAAACUACUCCCAGUCGACCACAACUCACACUUCAUUUUGUGACAUGUAUAUUUAACUGUGCUAACUGCAAGAUUUAGUCCAUAUACAAUAUUAAAAUGUUGAUUUUCCUCUCAAAAUAAGCAACAGCAACAAAAAAGAUUGAAAUCAGGUUAUUCAUACAAGGUUAUGUAACACUUGGGUGAGCCAGGGCCACUCUGGUGAUCAAGUUUACAGGAAUAGCACAACUCUAUUAUUAGGACGUAAGCCACCAUCAGAAAUGGUAAACAGAUAAUUGCAAAUCUUGUAAUAUUCAUUUUCUUCUAGAAUUAUAUAACACCAUAUGUGCAGAAAGAAGUAAUGUUGGUUCACUAGAGGCUUGUCGAGAUUUCUUUAUUUAAUGAUUUGGCCCUCAUGUCCCAAUUCUGCUAAAACACACACACACACACACACACACACACACACACACACACACACACACACACACAGAAAUGCUGCUUUCUUCUUUGCUACGCUACUUUCACUGUAGCUUACACCAAAUAAAAAAAAAUGUGUGUACCUUGGAUUAUUAUAUAGCUUUAUCAGUUUUCAUGCCGCUCCUAAGCCUGUGGAUCUAUUCUCCUGGUGGUGCUUUGCUUAGUAGACAAUAGUCCUGCAAAUAUCGGGGGCCAAGUCAUUAUCUUCUGCUCAGCAGGUGUAGACAUUAUUGGAGUGCUGAACUAAUGAUAUGUAAUGAGCUCUCUGUGACACAUGUCUAGCCACCCUUACUAUCAUGGGGCCCAUUAAUAGAUAACAGCAUCAUAAUUGGCUUCGUUGGGAAGCCAAACCCCAGCUUAUAAAUUUAUCAAAUAAUAUUUAAGUUGUGUUUGUACACUGUAUGCAGUUUUACAAUCUGUGUUUUCCGGCACUGAGCCAAAUAUGAGGGAGAAAAGUAUAUAACUCUUCCUUUCAUGUAUUUGUUGGUGCAUUUGGUUUGUGCAGCAACAUGGCCAUGUUCACGUACUGAUUCUAUGCAUGGUAUACACACUGCUGACAAGUGCCCUUUCAAAGCGUGCACAUGUACAAUUGUCUGCAACUACUUUUCUUUUUUAAAACAAACAUUAUCCCGUGACUAACAGAGGGGAGAAUCAUCAUUGUUAGUGUUUUCAGUGUGCUCAGUAAAUUGAAAGCCCAGGACACAAAUACAUGGCUGUCUUAAAAAUUUAUAUUGGAAAUGGUUUUGAUGUUGUACCCCACUGCAAACACUUUCAGCCUUCUGCAGGUCUCCUAGCAACAGCAAACAAAGGCAGGACCCAUCUCAAGUUUCCCGUGGAGCGGCCAGUCCGGCGUGCCUUUGAUCUUGACUGGGAAAAUAGCUGAGUGGGCACUACUCACAUUUGUCUUUCAUUUACUCCAGCACCCCCACCCCCCUCCCAAAAUGUUCACUGAAACAGCCAAAUCUUCAUCUGUCCCCAGCAACCAAUACCCCUCUCGGAUAAUCAGCCAUAGCGAGGGAAGUCAUUGAUGCACUGUUUAGUUAAAAUUGGACGUUUUUGUUCUGGAGCAUAGUUGGUACCUUUUAAGAGGAUAACGUUUUGUGGUUCUUCAGUGCAGGAAAGCAAGAGAGUAAACCCAGAGAGUAUUUUAUCCUUUGUUUCCACUGUCUCAAAGUAGUCUUACUGCAGAAUUUAUCAACUGGUGCCUCAGGACUUUGAAGUGAAAACCUCGAUGAACACAUGAAGCAUCCAUGACUGCCUUUCCAAGUGUUUUUAACUUUUUUUGAACUUGGGCCAAACUGAAAACGUAAUUUAUACCAUGAAAAAAGUCCCAAUGCCAGAAUGAAAACUGGGCAUGGAUCGGUUCUGAUGUGGAUUUUGAAAGUCACAGGGCUCCUAUUUAACAUUAAAUAUCUAGGCUGCUCACAGGAAAAAUAUUCAGCACUCCUUUCUGGGUGCUUGAUAAUGCUUUCGAAGUAAGUCCUAGGAGUGAAAAUACAAAUAAUUCUCUCAUUCUAUCUGUAAACAUGACCAAGGAUAGAUAGUGCAACGCAUCUUAGGGCUAUUGAAUGUUAUCUUACUCUGCUCUGCUCUGCUUUCAUCCAAAACGGCUCAGGCAGCUCGGGAGAUUAAACAAAUUGAAGUGUUACACACUGUUUUGGUGUAAUUUACUGUAAUUGAUGUUUCUAUCUAGUGCCGAGGCCUUCUAAAGCAAUUGCUUGUGUUUGUCGGAUGGCAUGCAGCCCAGUGGGGUGUAUUGACAGAGGCUGUUGACUAAUACUGCUAUAUUGGCAUGUUUUAAUGCUCUCCCAUUGUUUGACUAACAGACUCCUCUGUAAAGCUAAAAGCACACCUUGCGCUCUCCAGAAAAUGGAGAUCAAAGUAUAUUUUAUACUUUUUCUCACUCUGAGGCCACUACCUGGAAAUAAAUAAGUGUUCUGCUGAUGUGUCAGUAGGUCAGCAUGGUUUGUAUUUCCUGGUUCUGUGAUUCUAGUUACAAUAUGUGUUCAGUUCACAUCUUACACCACUCGGCAAAUUCUUCCCUCUCGGCCUGUAAACGUUUGUGUUGUUGACAUCCUAGUGAUUGUUGCUAGACCUUGAAAUACAAUAAUCCUUUGCAGGAAUAGCAUGCACAGGACAGCAGUGAACAACCAAAUAUUUCCCAAAAACAAUAAUCUGGUGUUUUUCAGGAUGAGUUGAUUCCAUAUUCACAGAUGAAAGAAAUACUCAGAUCUUUUAGAUAAAGUGGUUACAACCUAUUUUACAAUAACAAUGAAUCAUAUUACAAUGUGAAAACAGUCUGACAGUGUUAGCAUGGUCACUCCAAGUAAUGAAGUUACAGAGCAUAAUCAUCUAAAUUCAUAGCUUCCUUCAGCAUUACCGACCUUUUAUAGGUGAACUCAUGGUUUAGCUGUCUGAUCAAUAAAUGUACUGUUUUGUCUCACUUUCACCACUAUCAUAUCAUCAGUUUUGGUCAAAACAGGCAGCAAUUUUCAGUGAAAAAGCUCUACAAAACACUACUGUACACUAUCUGCACUGCAUCAAGUGACUGACAGACACAGUUAGCAACUAUCAGGUGAACAUAGUGGAAAAUUUAGCAGCUAAAGAGCCAGAUAUUUCCCUCAGGAGUUGUUGGAGAACACAGUGGAGAUCACAAACAGAAAAGGAAAGUGAAUAUUGAACAUUUUCCUGGCAGCCAGAACCAUGACUCCAAAUAAAUGCCUUACUGCUGGAUGUGUAAAUAACCAACUGUUUAAUUUGUCAUGUCACAUUCAUAGAAAAGUGAAAGGAAAAAAGUCUCACAAAGAACCAAAAAAGAAGUACAGCAAGGCUUUAUUGUAGUAUCAAAAGUUAAAGUAGAGAAAUUAAUCCUUUUGCUGUUGCAUAUAUGAUCACGUAUCAUAAUAAAUUAUCAUUUAUAUCGAUACAUUAAUUUGUACAAUAUGCUUAGCAGCUCUCCUCAUGCCCCUUGAGUGUUAUCGUCAAUGUGGAUAGGAUUUUAUUCUACUAUUUUAUAAGAUCAUACAUUACCAAUCAUAAUCUAGUAAUAACCGCUAACUAUAGCUAUAAAAAAAUGUAGAUACAUAAAAGUACACCAUUUCCCUCUGAAAUUUAUUGAUAUUGAGGUCUAGAAAUAGAAAUACACACACCUGAGUUUUACAAUAGGAACAUAAAAGUCAAUCUUGUGCAGCAAAAGACAAAUAUGGUGAAAUACAUGAAUUUAAAGCUCAUAUAUAUAUAGUAAGUACACUGUGAGUUAAGAUGGUUUUCCAAAUCUGUUGUUGCCGAGGUCAAGAAUGAACUUUCAAAACAGUGAUGAGCAUAUUAUAUUCCACAAAGUUUAAUGGUUUCCAGAGCUGUUUUGUUGCUACACACGGACUACUCCUGUGCAUUGGGCCCCAUGACUGCACCAAUGUAUUUUUGUUUUGUUUUUUGUAUUUGAAUACAAUUUGACACUUUUGGUAAAUACAGGCUUCAGGCCUGUCAUAGUCCCUCUGUCCUCCAAACAUAUGUCUGUUCUGUGUGGAGUUUCAGACUAAUGGCCCAUUGGUUUAGUUAGAGCACAAUGCUGCUAACAUCCAGGUUGUGGAUUUGAUCCCUGUUCGCACCAAUGGCUGUUUUUCCCACAUUCUCCAUGCAAUGUCUCCUCACCGUCAAUUAGAGGGCUUUUUUGCCGCCUACUCCUGCUUCUCUCAUCUCCCUUUUCACAGCAUCAGACAUGUUGUUGUGUUCAAGGUGUUAUUACCAUGAGACAGAGCUCAAUGCAGGGAAGGCAACGUAUAAUUCAGCAUCAUAUACAGCAUUUUAUUGGUUCAUAUUUUAUCAUAUGCAUGUUUGUUUUGUUAACAAUGCUGCAAAGUUACUUAAAUUUACAUAUGUUUUUAAAUGUGUAAAAAGCUGCAUUUGUACAUAUAUAAAACACGAAGCAGAUUUGGUUUGUAUGCAUGAGUGCUUGAAAUAUAGUACAGGGCUCCCAAAAAAGUUAUAACAGCCCUGCUUGUAUGUGUUUGUUUCCUCAAUCCUGUAAACUUACACUUUUUCACAAAAUGCCAGCCACAAUUUAGCAGAUACAUUACAUUUCUGUACAGGUGCAUGUAAACAUGCAGCUUGCAAUUAAUCCAGAGAUUGACAAACAUCUUGCCUGACAUUGUUAUGUUCGCCGUAUUCUCUGUCAGUGCUGUUUGUGUAUUUUUCAGCAGUCUUUAGAGAGCGAGAAAAAAAAACAUAUUUCUUCUGUCAUAGAUGCUUGUUUAUGAGGAACACUAGUGCUAGCUGGUUCCUAUUUUAGUUUGUCAAAGCAAAGAAGCUGCAGAAGAGCAGAUUUUUGCAUGCCUUUAAGAGCCUUUCAUGGAAGCAGCUCAGGUUUUCACAUGCAAGAAUUUUGGGGGUGGGAAAAACUGUUCCACCUCCUGCCUUCAGCUGGCUGUAUCCUCCUUUGCAUGUAUUUUACACUCUGAGAAGUCACAAUAUUUAAUGGUUUACAGUCACAUUGCUCAGCACUCGACCUGAUGCAGAAAGCAACCAGCUACUAGCUUGACAACAAAACAAAAGCUUGUGAUCUGCUACAACACAACUGAAGUGCUCCAAUAAACAGACCUUUACAUUUCAAGCUCUCUUCUGACCUAGAAAGGCCAGAAUAAGGUUCGCUUCUCUCACCUUCAAGAACUCUUUGCUAAACGAACAUAGUUCUCCGGGGAAGAAAGGGAAAACAUUUGAAGCAGAUCUUUCUUCUUUCUCCCUUUCUUUCCCGAAACCCCAUUUGAAACUAUUUUAGCAUAUUUAUAUUUAGCACGUUUCUGAUUCAGAAUCCUGCGCAAAAAAAUGCUGUUAUGGCAUCAAGUAUCAUCACAUUACCACGACAAAAAAUAAAGCAUGUCUUCAUCCUUGUCGGCACCAAGCCCCACACAGAGUUGUUCCCUUCUGAUAACUGCAUGUGCCAUCUGACAACAAUGUUGGGGUGGAGAAUGUAUUAAUAUCUUCCUGAGCCCUAAGCAUGCACAUUUACUGUCACCUUAAUUAAGCCGUUUAUAUGCUUACCUAAUAUAGGUGUCCUAAGAGGUACUUCAUACUGGAACCAUUUCAGUGUUUCACCUAAGAAGGAAGAGAACCUCCUUUUCUAUAAAAGUGCCAUUUCAACAUUUGCUCAAUAAAUUAUAUAUGCCAAUGUACCAAUUUGCCCUCUUAGAUUUUCAUUUGCGGUGGAUUUCUUUGCAAUUCCUGCAAUUAGGAAGGUAUUAACAUAGUUUGAGCUUAGAAUUGCCCUAUUGGACUACUUUUAAAAAUACAGACCUUUUUUUUAUAUAUAAAACUCAGACUGGUUAAUGACAGUGUAAGUUGAAAUGUGGUGAAUUGUGGUACGUCUGAAUAAUUUUAAAAAAUGACUAAAUGUGGUGUACACUAAAGAGAGCACGAUGAGCAGUAAUACAGAUUAACAAGAUGAGCAGUGAACAAAUGUUUUACACUAAUUUGAUGCCUCUGCUACCAUUUAAUACACUUUCAAAUCAUCAUUUUAAUUUGUGUUGACGUUACUUUGAAUUUGAAGUGACUCAGGCAAGUUCUUCAUCCAGGUUACGUUACUUCUUUAGUUCUUGCUGCCAUCAUGCAAACUAUGUCUUAAAGCUGCAGUAGGCAGUAAUCUGGAAAGCUCUGAUCAACAAACAAACAACAACAACAAACAGCCCCUCAGCAGCUUCAAUUACACAAAAGUAAUCAGCCUUAUAUUCACUUCUAGCUUGUAUCAGGUUUUGAUCCCUCUGUUUGUCCCAUUGCACCACACCUCCUAUUUCCACUGUAGACUUGUUGCUUUUUAUACUUUCUCAAAUGAUCUGCAUGAAACGCCCUGUGACUGACAUUUCAGGUUAGAUUUUCCAAAGAACAAAGAGGAAGUGCAAAAUUCUCUCUCAGACUACUUGAGUCACAAUAUCCUGACAGGGUAUUAUGGGAAAAAUGCCUACCUGAGCUUUAAACAGUCCUUUCACCCAAAUCAUUGAACGGAAACGAUGCUCUUGUUACACUGGUUCUUGAACAGACCUCUCAGUGAAUAUUUAAGAGAAAGACAGAAAUCUCCAAAUACUAAACAACAAAACCCCAACUUUCUGUAUGUUUAGAUUUAUGUUAGUGAGAAAAUAAGUAAUUUGGUUGCACUGACCCAUUAACUCAAAUCCACUCACUGUAUUUUGACCUCCUAUUGUCCAGUUAUAUUUCUAGUUUUAGGUAUUUUUGAGCACCAGUAUUAAUUUUUACACUGCUUUGGAAGAACCACGUGUUUCAUGGUUGACUUCCUGCAGUCCCCUAAGCUACUUAAACGUUUCGCCUCAUUUGCAGAUCAUUUGGCUCCACUCACACUACUACCAGUCUGCAAAAGAGCAUGGCUUAAUUUUCAUCUGUGAAAGAGGAUGUUUCAAUGUGGAGGUGUUUCAGAAGUGUUUGUCUUAUUUGAAUUUUAAAAAGCCACCGACUCUCACUUACCUACAAUUCUUCAUUAUAGAGUAAAUCACCAAAGCAGCAGCUACAAUUAAGUUUUGCAUUUCAUGUUUAACCUAACUUAAAACAUAAGGGCUCUGAAAGACGCUAAAUUCAAGUGUUGACGUGACAUAAAUCUGACAAAAGUUUCUCUUUAAACUGUUGGAAGCAAAAAAAAUGCAUCACAAGAUUCAUAGAAACUGACAUAAGCGUUUCUUUAAAUGUGCAUUUAACAUAGGAUCUGUUGCGCUGCAGACUAAGCGUUAACAUCAACCCUCAGGGGAUUCAGUACGAUGUGUAUCAAUGCAGUUUUCUGCAUUUCGAGAGUUUUCGUGAAUGUAGGCUACACCUGCACACACAUAAGAGUACUACAGUUUUUCACGUAUCACUGAGGUCUGCGCUAUUUUUAACCUCUGAACAUUUUUUUUCACCUCCAGUGCAAUGCAUUUGAGUUCUUUUUUCCAUUUCAGAAGGUUUCCAAUGGAAUCUCAGGGUAUAUAAAGAAUGUUUAAAGCUCGCAUGCCUAUUUAGAGUGAUGCAAAGACAUGUUACACCAUCUCAAUCUGUCAGCCUAUAUGCUAUGUACACUUGGAAGAAGUCAGUGUCUGUUUGUGCCAUAUAGAAUUAUCACCUCUUAACUAUAUGACAUUUCUGGAGAGAAAAAACAAUCAUGGCACAGACGGAGUGGGGGUGGGGUGGCAUUUGUCAGUGCUCUCAUUGGGGUUCAAAAGUAGAAUGUAAAAUGUCUGUCUUUGUCUGAUCCAACACAUUUUAUUUUUGUAACUGAGAAAUCUGUUCAGGGACCCCAACAUUUUUUCCAACUGUCAGAGUGUCAUUUGUCAGAAAAAAAUAAAGUGAAACUGAUAUCCCACCCCCAGUCCUUCUGUAUGUUGUGAGGUUAUAGCUGUUUCCAGCACGCAAGGUGGGGGUGUGUGUGGCGUGCACACGUAAACACAGCAACCUGCCACCUCAAACACACGUGUCCUGGUCAUCCUGCGGUGCAGAGAGCCGAUCUCCCGGCUGCCUCUUUGACACUGUUGUGCCCUGUGGCUUCAUCUUGACUUUCAAGAAGCCGAAACCAUUUGACUAGAGAGCAUUGUCCCCUCAUGAUUGAGAUGUUAACCUUCAGGGCAACCCCUUGCUCUUUAGCGACUCAUUUUUCCUCCCUCUCUUCCCCGUUCUCCUCCUCCUGCUUCUUCUUCUUCUUCCUUUUCCUUCUCCCCCUGGUUUCUCUUCGCCAGCAGCCUGCACAGUGAGGCCGUCGAGCCAUUAGUGAGUCCCAACCCUGAUAAUGAAGCCACAGAGGUGGUCUGAGCUAGUGUGGCACAGGAGCUGGAGCACAGAAGGAAGGUAGAUUAGGAUAAUUACCUGGCCAUGGGAGCACAAUGGAGAAAAAAAAUGCCUCACUUCCUGCAGGCUUUGAUUGGUGAAGGAGCACAGUACAAUCAGGUGCGACCCCUGUGCGCUCAAAAAGGCGAGAAUAAAAAUUAGUUCCAAUCAUAUUUGCUAAUCAAAACGUGAAAUGGUACAUGUUGGAUUUGAUAGUAAUUUCUCAUUCUUUGUUUUUGCAGGUGUUCUCUGCAUCCCUUACAUGCAUGUGUGUGUUAUUUGUUGUUCAUGUUGUUGUGGUUUGGGUCUCUCACACACGCUGUAAGGACGUCCUAAAUAUCCACGCUCACAGACACUUUGAAGAGCCUAUGAGGUCAGGUUUUAAAUUAUGGUCUGAUCCCACACCAGGCUUUCUCUCCCCACUCCUGUAAAUCCAUUUUCCACACAAUGCAUUUCAAAUCAAAGCCGCGUCGCCAUAACAUGCCUUAGGAAACAUUAAGCCAUAGUGCGUUACUUUCAUGUAUGAUAGCAUAGCCCCUGUAUGCUUUGAUGUGCUCACUUUUUUUAAUGCUUUAUUAAUAACAACACAUUGGCUCCUUCUCACACCACCAUCAGCUUCUGGUGCUCCCUUUCUCUCCUCCUGAGCUGCAUCCCUCACUCUUUCCCAGCCAGUGCUGCUUCAUCCCUCCCCAGCCCCUGAGUCUUGUCUCGGGAUUGGCCUGCUUGUGUUUGGGAGGGGGAUUAGAGGGAAUGACAUGGGCCUCAAGAUGAAGAGAGUGACAAAGACCUAUCAGAGGGCAGAGAGUACAGAGCGCUGCAACAUCAUUGGUUGCUGAGGAAAUCAGACACGUCUUCAUUUCUUGCAGCCAUCCUUCUCCCAGUGCCCAGCUUUCAUUUCCUUGCCUGGGGAGGGAAGCAUGGAGAGGGUGGGGGAUCAGGAUUUGAGUUUCUGUUUGUGAGUUUAAUUGUGUGUGCACAUGUGUGUUUGCUUACAUGUUGUGAGCAGCAAACACAGAAAUACAGAGGGAUGAGCAUGUAGACACUGAUAGCACUCACCUCCUCCAAAGCUGGCCAAAAUACAAAGCAGCCCGCGCAUUUCUGGAGCUGCCCUAGAUGAACACUAUGAAUGGAAGCCUGAUUCAUAGACGUGCAAAUCUACCUACUGAUUCCUCUCAUUAUUUCAGCUUUAUCACUGGAUGUUUUUGCAUUAGUGUUAACUGGCAAAACUAUCCCAAAACAUACAAUGGCUGUUCAGUAUUUGCUGAUAUUUUCUUUCUGACAAAUUCAGUGUAAUGUUGGCAAUUUACCAGAUCACUUAGCAGCUCGCCACAAUCACGUGUGCACACUUGCACACAAACAUCUGCUGAUUUAAUUUUCUGCUUUUGUGCUUUCUUUUUGUUCGUGUCCCUUUUUUGAUGAUUCCUCGCUCUUUCUGUUAUGUGGUAUUAUUGAAUCUUGUUUUUGUUGUUGAUUUAUCAUUUCAGCCCACAACUUCUGCACCACAGUUUCUCAAGUCACUCAACUGCAAUCUGUGGUUGUAAGAAAAUAAAUAUAUUAAUAUACGAAACAAGCUCA